GAUCCUGGCUCAGGAUGAACGCUAGCUACAGGCUUAACACAUGCAAGUCGAGGGGCAGCAUGGUCUUAGCUUGCUAAGGCUGAUGGCGACCGGCGCACGGGUGAGUAACACGUAUCCAACCUGCCGUCUACUCUUGGCCAGCCUUCUGAAAGGAAGAUUAAUCCAGGAUGGGAUCAUGAGUUCACAUGUCCGCAUGAUUAAGUAAUUUCGUUCGUACGANGGAGUG
rnacentral:rRNA from 1 species